UUUGAUGAGCAAAACCUAUCAAUACCUCCCAAUAAUGCUAUUUUCUAGUCACCAUUAGUGAGAUGAGUCCCUUCCAAUUUUGUCCUAGCAUGCUGCUGGUGAUGCCAGGAGUCAGGAUUCUCCUCUCCCCUACUGUUCCCAAGAAGUUUAACUCCCCAUGGUCUGUUCCAGUUAUUGGUUAAAGGACUAAAAAUAGGUAUUCGAAGGUUCCUGCACGAUCUGGGACCUUGCCUGGAGUUCUCACAAGAGACCAUCAUCUUAGAGGACUUGAUGUUGCCUUCUAUAUGCCUGUCUUGUAUAUUCUGGUCAGCCUUUUUCUGUUUUGAAUAUGUUUGCAAAUAUCUAGUCAAGUUUCAUAAAAUAGGGAGAAAAAUUAAGUUGUAAUGCCUGAUGACCCAAUUUGUAGUUUGAUGGGCAACUUGAUUCUAAGUAAUAACAUACAGGCCAGGAAGGAAAUGUCUGAAAUGGCAGAUUACAAGAACAGCCCUAUAGCACCUGCAAGACUAAUCAGUUCUAUUAUCACUGUUUCCUAAUUAUCAGUUACUCAUGUCAUACAUUUUGAUUAUCUAUCAUUUUUAUUUUGAAAACCUGGCAACAUAUAUAGACCAAACCACUGUACUCAUACAAACACAAGUACCUAUUUCCUUUCUCUUUUAUUAUGAAAUGUCUUUAUGUCCAUUCUUUCAUUAACAAAAUCCCCUUCCUGCCCCCUUCAAUAGCCUCUGUGCCCCCUAAUUAAUGACCAAAAAUGGGGGCACAGUGCACAUACUGAGCCAGAUAAGUCAAUAGUCUGACACAGCUUAAGCAACUUCCCAGGAGAAAGCAUGCUUGAAUAUGAUAUGGAUCAAAUGUUCUUUGUCUCAGCAUGCACCAAAUGUUAAGUGAGUGACUUUGAGCCAGAUCUGAGUAUAAAAUAGUAUAUAACCUUGAUCUUAUUAAGGAAAUGAUGACAUAUAAAUACAACUCAUUUCUUGAGACAAACCCCAUAAGGUUUAGUUGGUAAACUGUCUUCUAUAGACACCAUUGCAAUUCGUUCUGGUCGCGAAAAGCCUUUGACAAUAUAAUUCUGCUUCUUUUUUAUUUUCUUUGUUACGAAACUUAGAUGUUAUAUCUAUAACAUCUGUAGAUCCUAAAUAAAUAAAUUAAUAUGAUAGAAAAUACAGAACAGAUCAAUCUCUAAGCAUAUGGGUUUGAUAGAUAUUGUCUGUUUUCACAUAAACAUUCCCUGCUGCAGUGGUACAUUGGGAAAGUUCUCGAGCAGUUUAUUCCAGAUUAAUUAAGAGUAGAUUCAUCAUAGGUCAUACCAGUUCCUCGAAUUUUGUUCAGAAAUGGACUGGUAGCUAGUGAAGGUGUUUGAACAAGUAGGAGACAACCGGAGGGGGAAAACUGGGAUCAUCAGACAGGGCUAAAAAACCAAUUUUGGUUGAAACUGGGGAGAAGUGCUUCCAGCCAGAGUUGACAGUACUGUGUUAAAUGUUUAAGGCAGUUUCUUGUGUUGUGAGCUUGUCUGGUGUAGCAUUCUAAAUCACGCAAGUCCACAGCACAAUAAGCUGCCUUAUAGUGAGUUCAGACCUCUUGUCCAUCUAGCCCAGUCAAUCUGCCUCUUCUGAGUAUACAAACUUCCAUACUUCUUACCACUGUAACUCUUUAAUGUUUUAGAAUUUCUCUCUGGGUCCCCAGAACUCUCCUUUCUGUCAACUUGGUGAAAAAGCUUUAUGGUGUGAUUUGGUUCCCCUUGGAAAAAUAAAAUAAGG